UGAAUAAGUACUCAUGCCUGGGUCCCACCCCUGGAAAUUCUGGUUUAACUGGAAUCAGGGCCCAGACAUGAGUAAUUUUAAAAGAUGAUUCCAGUGCACAGCCAGGGUUAAGCACCACUGAUUUGGUUUAAUAGAAGCUGAAGUGAUGUCCCAUAUCUACUUGGCUGGGAAAUGCCACAAGACUAGGCCGUGCAACAUUUCCGCAGUGCUCCUCGCUACAAAGACAUUCCCCUAAGGCUGGUGGGCAACUCAACACUCAGCUCAGUACGUGGUCAGCUCGUCCUCCAUAGGAGCCUUAUGCCUUGGUGAGGAGAUCUCUGAAGAAAUUGCUGAUGAAAGUCCAACAGGCUCUUCCAGUUUGUCUGGUCGGUCACAUUUGCUGAAACCUGGAGGAAUUGUUAGUGGAAGCUCAACAGGCCUGACUCAGUCUGACUGUCCAUUCUUCUGGAAGCUGCAGAGAAAAGAAACCUGGAAACCUUAUAUGCUGACAAAAAGGGACACAAUUGGAUAUGAUGGUUAUUUUACCAAGGUUUUGAAAUGUCGUGCUUUCAAAUAUAAACAGACUGCUUUAAGGAAUCGAAGUUGACUUAUAGAGCCAAUAAAAGCCCUGCAGGAAA